GCUGCGGCCGCGGAGGCAGGCCCAGGAGCAGCAGCAGCUGCAGCGAGACCAGAACGCCCAGCGACGGCGGGAAGGAGGCUCCGCGGCCGCAGUCUGACGUAUCUUCCUGCGGAAAAAGACCAAGAGCAGCAGCCGACCCGCCUCACACUGGCUGCACAGUGGCUUCUCCGCCACCACGAAGAGAAGGGACAGUGAGAGUGGUCAGUGGCCUCAGGCUGACCAGGCUGGGUAGCUGUGGCAUGUGGGUGGGGGUGACCCCUUCCUGGCCUGGCUGCCACCUUGGCACUCACCGAGGCAACAUUUACAUAGUCGUCGUCAGACAGCGUGUCCAGCAUCUCGCAGACGGACGUCUUCAUCAGCUUCAGGGUCAAGCCGCUCACACUGCCACUCCUGAGGAAGUCAUGCAGGCUCCAGAUUCCAGCUUUAAUUUUAGCAACUUCUCUGGAAGCCACGGAGGCUCAGCCAAGGGGGAAGCACACCUGCUUUAGCCCACCCACCCCGCCUUCUCGGGCCCCCUGCCCGCCUGCCCUCCUGAAGACUCACCCAGGCCAGCCUGGCACCAUGGACCCUGUGCAGGGCUCCUUUCCAGCCUGCUCACUUCCUGGUAUCAUUGGACACCUGCUCACCUCAGGAACCCCCCUAGGCUGAUAGGCCUGGGAGAGAAAAACUGGACUUUGGGGUUCUUGCACCAGCUACCACAGGUGGGCCCCUAGACUGAGCUGCUGUGAUACUUCUGUUUACAGAGGAAACAGUCAGGUUCAGUAACAUUUGUCUCAAAGGCAGGCAGGUGGACUUGGGCCUUGACACCAGACACUGUCUGCUCCACAUGCCCUGAGACACUCUAGACACCUCUGUAGGUCUCCUCAAUGGUCACAUCGCUUUCCUGUGGGUCCUCUGGUGAUGGGGACCUCACUAUCUCACAGGGUGGCCCCAACCCGUCAAUGACGUGGAGGCAAAAGAGCAGUGGAACUCCGGGUUCUGUCAGUCCAUGCCACUCCCGAGGUGGUGACCGCAGCUGGCCUGGAGCCCUCACCUUUGUCUGGAGAAUGGGCACAGGGAAGGCAGCUGUCCUGACCUGUAAUGCACUUACUCAGCGGUGCUGCAUCCUGUGUCCUGGCCCCACCUGCCCGCCUCCAGGAAGCCCUUCCCAGCUGCUCCUUCUCUCCUGACUCUGUGCACUCAGGGGCCCCUCUUGAUGCUGACCACUGAAUUGACCUACAGGAGGGGUCCAUCACUCUGCCCAUGGACAGUGCAGCUGUGCCCAUUAGUGACAGAGAUAGCCCCAGGAGUCAGGGCCCCAAGGGAGUCCUGGGAAGUUAGGGUGGGGGCUUGUGCCACCAGGGCUCUGCAGGGUUGAACUCAGAAUGCAGAGCAGUGAGUUUUAACAUGCAUUUUACAGGGGGCUCUGGCAGCCCCCCUUCUACCCUCAGUGCAGGUGGGGACACUCACCAGCUCAGCAUCGGCUUUGGCGUCAUAGUACAUGAUGUCUUCCUCCUGGUGGGGGAGAGAGGAUUCAAUACUCAACAGCUCAGUCUCCCGAGGUGCAGCCAAGACACCCAGCCCCAAGGUCUGGGAUCUGGCUGCCCCUCCCCCCAACCCAGAGCCCCAUUCAGGGAGGGCAGGCUGAGUCAGAUUGGUUAUGCCCCACUCCCACCCCCUGCCAGGUCGUCUUCAGGGGCCCCCACAGGCUCCAGGGUGAUGUGGUACCAGGGUCACAGCCCCCCAGACUCCCUGUCUCCAGCACAAGGGUCCUCUGCUCUGCAGCCCUGCUGGGAGGCAGUGUCAGAGGCAGCCUGUCUGCAGAGACUGGCGGAGGCAGGACCGGGGGAGUGAGGAAGAUGGGAAAAUAGAGCUGAGUCUGGGUAAGAGUGAAAUAAUGACUCGACACUGCAUCUUCCAAUUUCUUCUAUUAAAAAGCCUGCUCAUUACGGGCAUGUACUUAUUAAU